AGUCCCCGGGAAUCCUUACGCACGCUUAGACUCUUGGGAGUUGUAGUACGAAUCCAGUCAGGGUUGGAACCAUGGCGGUGGCCAAGGAGCUCUUACAGAUGGACCUGUACGCGCUGCUAGGUAUCGAGGAGAAAGCGGCGGACAAAGAGGUGAAGAAGGCAUAUAGACAGAAGGCCCUCUCCUGCCACCCAGACAAAAAUCCGGAUAAUCCCAGAGCAGCUGAGCUCUUCCACCAGCUUUCUCAGGCCUUGGAGGUACUGACCGACACUGCAGCCAGGGCUGCAUAUGACAAGGUCAGGAAAGCCAAGAAGCAGGCAGCAGAGCGGACCCAGAAACUUGAUGAGAGAAGGAAGAAAGUGAAGCUUGACCUGGAGGCCCGAGAGCGCCAGGCCCAGGCCCAUGGCAGUGAUGAUGAAGAGGAGAGCCGGAGCACCAGGACACUAGAGCAGGAGAUCGAACGCCUUAGAGAAGAGGGUUCCCGGCAGCUGGAGGAACAGCAGAGGCUGAUCCAGGAGCAGAUACGGCAGGAACGGGAGCAGAGGUUGAGAGGAAAGGCAGAAAAUCCUGAAGACAGAGGAACCCCCAAGCUAAAGCUAAAAUGGAAAUGCAAGAAGGAAGAUGAGUCAAAAGGCGGCUACUCCAGAGAUGUCCUCCUGCAGCUUUUCCAGAAGGCUGAGCCAUGCUUACUGGGAACCCCUUGUCCUCACAGUACGGAGAGGUGCUCAACCUGGUGCUUUCCAGUAAGAAGGCUGGCACUGCCGUGGUGGAGUUUGCAACCAUCAAGGCUGCGGAGCUGGCUGUCCAAAACGAAGUGGGCCUAGUUGAUAACCCUCUGAAGAUUUCCUGGUUGGAGGGACGGCCCCAGGGCACAGGGGACCCCAGACAUGCAGGACUGUCACAGGGCUCUGUGCUGUCGGAGAGGGACUACGAGAGCCUCGUCAUGAUGCGCAUGCGCCAGGCUGCUGAGCGGCAACAGCUGAUCGCCCAGAUGCAGCAGGAGGAGGAGGUGGGGCAGCCCACCUAGCCCUCAGCCCCAGUGCACUCACCCACAGCCCUUUUCUUAAACGUCACCAAUAAACUUUGUGUUUGUUUUUUUUUUUU